rnacentral:other from 1 species
UUAACCCUAGGGUGAUAUCCAGCUGUUUUCACCCUGAGCCGAUAUUACAGAUGACUUGGUGUCUUACUGUUGCCUGUGCGUUUUGUCCGUUUUUUAUUGCGGAACACCUGACGGUUUCAGCUGAUGCCUAUCUUGAACACCUUGGUUCAAGGAGUCGUAUACGGCAGAUUCACCCUUGGGCUUCCU